GUUUCUUUUCCCCCGAUCCUCGCCGAACCUGCGCCGCACCCUUGCGGUUGUCUUCUCCCAAGCCAACCCGAUCGCCCUUCUCCUUCUACUUCUUCCCUUCUCCUCUGUCCCUGCCCAAGCGCCGGUGAGCACGAGCCACCGCCGGCCGAGCCGCUUCUUUGCCCUAGCGUUGUCCUCCUCCCUCUUGUCUCUGCCCGACGACGCCACCGUGCCCUAGAUCUCUCGUCGACGCCUCCGCUUCGGCGACACCCGAGCACUGCCCGAUCACCGAUGUGUCCUAGUUUCCUUGUCGAUGGCGCCGACGCCCACAAAAGCUUCCUCUCCUCUGCCGACAGCCGCCCUCGCGGAGUGAUCCCGACGCCACCAUCUUGCGCCGAGCAGCAGUGUCGCCGGCCAAUUUCUCCUUAUCCCUAGCACCGUCGCCGGCUACUUCUCCGAGGAGUACCCUAGCGCCGGCCCUUUUGUUCUCCUUUUCAGAGCACCGGCACACGCGCUUCAUUCCAGAGGUGCCCUAGCACCUGAUUCGCCGCCAUUCUCCCUGCUCGAGCCGUGAUUGUGGCUACGAGGCCGAGCACCGAUGCCUAAGUGUCGCCCUCUUCCCACACAGAGCAAUGCUAACGUUGGUUGUCGCUUACCUACUCUUGGUCGUGGACACCGAGUACUCACAGGGAGCAGAGCCGAUCACCUACUCACCACUGGUUAUGCUGAUAUUCUUGCCCGUGGACCAUUGUUCCUUUGAUUCAUUGCCACCACCUCUUUCAUCGACCACAACCACAGUUCCUGGCGUACGUUGUCAGGGGUUGGAGACAUGAAUGUGGUCGUUCGGUGUUUGAAGAAAUGUGUAGGACAUCCGACAGUCAAUCACCUCUGUUCUAGCAAUGAGGUAGAGGACUUUGACGCGAGACGUGUAUCUCGACUACCAGUUUGGACUUUUCGAUUUGGAGGCGGG